UACUGUACUUUUUUGCAAAUUCGUAAACUAUUGUACGAAUUGUAUUCCUAACAUAUCAUAUGACUUGUAAUUUGUAACAUAUAUGAAAUGGUUGAUGGACAUCCACAAAUUAAUACAUACCAUACAAAACGUAACAUAUACUAAAUGGGGUGUCUCGGAUUUACAUACAGAAUAAUAAGAAAUGUGCGGAGGUAUGUAGUCUAAUCAAUGCAGUCCGAGUUGAUCUUAUUGUGUUGUAACCAUUGCACCAUAUCAUGUAGACAUUUUUUUUUAAAUGUAACCUUUAUUUAACCAUAGCCUAGGCGCUCUACCGGUUAGCAUAUGUGCCUUGUCUUUAUGACAAUGGGGUUGAGGAGAUUAUAGACAGUAAUUGUGUCAUCUUACAUUGUAAUAAAUAUUAAUUGUGUAGGCCUACCCCCAGGAACCACCUAGGGUAGGCCUAUUUGGUUGCAUGUAGUCUGGUCUAUUGUGUAUUUGUAACCCCCACCACCCCCUGUCGAUAGUGGCCAUGAGUAUCAUAACAAUUUAAUUACUUUUAGCCCCAUGGCCACAAAAAAAUGUAUUACAGAUUAUAAAUGUGGUAUCACAUUAUACUUGUGUGUUACUGUUAAAAGACUAUCUGACUUGAUCCUGUGUUAAUCUAUUUAUAAUUGUAUAAUUAGCCUAGCAGUAGUAAUUAUCAUGUUAUGGUUUAGAUGGAAUGAUCUAUGUUCAUUGUAUUUGUAGCGGUAGUAAUUAUUGUGUUAUGGGUUAGAUGGAAUGAUCUAUGCGCAUUGUAUUCGGGCAGAGGGAAAGGGCCUGUCUUGGCCUGUCUCUUGAGGCCAAGAAUGAUUCCACGAGGGUUGAAUAGCAGUCAUGUGUCUGGAGUUAGCGCUGACAGAUCAUAAUUACUCAUCUAUAACACUUUCUUAUAUCUUUAUAUACUCUUGGUGUGAAUAUACCCUUUUUAUAUAUUCUUAGAGAUUGAAAUUAGCGUUAGGUUGAAGCUCUUUGUGUAUGAGAAGUGUAAUUAUCUAGUGGUCUGCAGUGUACUGUAGGAAUGUGUACUUCCAAUAACUCAAGGCCUCUCCUGACUGACAAGAAGACCCGUGAAAGGCACGGAGGAAUACGAAAGCUCUGGAUUUAGGCUGGAACACGAUAACACCAACGGGAGGAACAGACUCAGUUCUUGCCCAGCAACAGAGAUGGAUUGUUUAACAUAGAAAUACAAGAAGGUCACUCGGCCUAAUCGGAAGGUUCUGGGCUCAAUAGAUUGGUCUUCAAAGGACCCCAAAGAACUGCAAGCUCCUCUGGCACCCAUACUGCAUCAACAAGUCAAAGCUCCGGGCCUUCCACCCAGCCGGGGCCUGAUGUCCUUACCCCCUACCACUAAGAAGACCAGGCAGGAGCAACUUAAGUCCAUGGGCUUUGCAACUGUGUCCAGAGCUUCAGAUUCACCAGAAAGGAUCCACGAGUCGUCGGUAAGUAUCCUAGGACAAUUGACAUAUUUUCUAUGAUUCCAUAUAGCAAAGUCUUAUUCAGUAUGCGCUGUUAUAAUUUCUGAACUCUAAGGCAAUUUUUGAGUAUUGUCUUUCUAAGGAGGAUCAGGGAAAUACAUCCAGCUACAGCAGCCUCCUCCACCUCGUCCUGAUCUCCACCUUCCCGAUCUCCACCUUCCCAGCUGGACACCAGCUUUAGCUCCCCUGAUUACCAGGACCAGGGCUCUGACUACAGUCGUGGCCAAAAGU